GAACGGUCUCUUCGGAGGCAGUGGCAGACGGGUGAGUAACGCGUGGGAACAUACCUUUCGGUACGGAACAACAGUUGGAAACGACUGCUAAUACCGUAUACGCCCUGAGGGGGAAAGAUUUAUCGCCGAGAGAUUGGCCCGCGUUGGAUUAGCUAGUUGGUGGGGUAAUGGCCUACCAAGGCGACGAUCCAUAGCUGGUCUGAGAGGAUGAUCAGCCACACUGGGACUGAGACACGGCCCAGACUCCUACGGGAGGCAGCAGUGGGGAAUAUUGGACAAUGGGCGCAAGCCUGAUCCAGCCAUGCCGCGUGAGUGAUGAAGGCCUUAGGGUUGUAAAGCUCUUUCGCCGGUGAAGAUAAUGACGGUAACCGGGAAAGAAGCCCCGGCUAACUUCGUGCCAGCAGCCGCGGUAAUACGAAGGGGGCUAGCGUUGUUCGGAAUUACUGGGCGUAAAGCGCACGUAGGCUGACUUUUAAGUCAGGGGUGAAAUCCCGGGGCUCAACCUCGGAACUGCCUUUGAUACUGGAAGUCUUGAGUCCGAGAGAGGUGAGUGGAACUCCGAGUGUAGAGGUGAAAUUCGUAGAUAUUCGGAAGAACACCAGUGGCGAAGGCGGCUCACUGGCUCGGUACUGACGCUGAGGUGCGAAAGCGUGGGGAGCAAUCAGGAUUAGAUACCCUGGUAGUCCACGCCGUAAACGAUGGAAGCUAGCUGUCAGGUAGCAUGCUAUUUGGUGGCGCAGCUAACGCAUUAAGCUUCCCGCCUGGGGGAUACGGUCGCAAGAUUAAAACUCAAAGGAAU
rnacentral:rRNA from 1 species